GGUGUUUGUUAGCUAUCUAGAAGUUGUCCAGGGCUCCCUGAGGGAGGCCAGCACAAGAGCUCUGCCAUAAAAGGACAUUGGACAGAAGUGAAGAGUCCAAUCAGAAACUCUUUUUGAGAGACUGAACGCAAAGCAUUCAGAGAGUCAGCAGGCUGGAGAGGCCAAGACACACACACGAAGAAGGCAGGACACUCUUCUCCUCCUGCGGUUGGACUCCAGGCUCUAUGACCUUCAAACUCCAGGACUUACACCAGUUGCCCCUGGGCACUCAGGACUUCUGCUUCAGACUGACAGUUGCAGGACAGUGCAGCAUUUUAUUUUAAAGAUACCCCACAACGUAGGUGGCCAGUCCUGCUGCAGAUUGAGAGCUGUACUAGCCUGGCAUGCAGACAGCAGCUUUAGAAUCAGAUCUGCCUUCUGGCGGCUUCCCACCUAGGAGCCAUGGGACCUUUGUGAAGUCACCAAUUGUGCUGUGGAUGCUUCAUUUGUGAAGGAGAACAGGACUGCCUUAUGAGGAAACUGAGGUACAGAUGGGAAACUUGCUCAAGUUCACACAGCAAUUAAGUGAUCAAGUCCAAGAGCAAAACCAGGCAGGCUGGCUCCAGAGCUCACGAUAGUCCACCACUGCUUUCCACCAUCACUACGGAAUCAAGUCCAUGAGGAUACUCACCUUAUGUCAGUUGCCUAAGUUGGAAAUUAUAGAAUCUUCAAAUUGGAAGGGACGUUAUCAUCCAAGAUUUCAACUUUCUACUCACUGCAAAAUCCCUUCUGGAACUUCCCAGAUUGAUGAAUUUUCAUCAGCUCUGCUUGAGUACUCCCAGUGACUUGGAAAAAAAACACUGUAAUAUGGAUAUGAAAUAUAAACUGUUCAUGGAUAAAUUAUUGCAUAAUAAAAACAUGCCUAAUGGCUACACUCCCCUAAUAUGUUCAUUUGACUUCCCAGGAUUUAGCAACCAGGGCCUGGAAGGCAGACAAAGGUAACUGGCCCCAUGUGAUAAAAACAGGUUCCUUCUACGUGUGGGGCUUCUCCACUGCCAGGUUCCUGCAGCAAGUAGCAGUCACCAGCACCCAGUGGCCAGCAGCUUCCUCCACCACCUCCUGCUUGACACUGGAGUAAAUUCCAAAACAUGGCACCACCCUGUGAAUAGCUUCCUUGACACCCAAGAAGGUGGGUUUCCAGCAAGUUCUACUGGUGAGGCAUUUCAGUGGCUUGUCAGCCAUCCUUGAGCCACAGCUGCACUCUCUGCAAUAAGAUCUGUUUCUUGCUGAGGGCUUUUAUCUCAGCCCUAGGAGUAAUCUUAUAUCUGCUAUCCUUGUAUUCUGUAGAGUAAUUUAUAUUUCUUACUAGUCAAUCCAUUAUUAUCCGAAUUCUCUAUUAUAGUUAAUAAUUCUUUAUAUUAAACAUUCCCUGUUUGAAUUACU
rnacentral:lncRNA from 1 species